AGUUGGAUUGACAGGAACAAGAACACCAUUAGGUGGCCAAAUAACAUGAGUGCCACAAAAACUGAACGACCACUGAAGGAUAAAAUUAACCCUCGGGAUGACAGGAUGACGUCCCCAUUAAUAAAGAUAAAAAUUACUUCUGGUGUCAAGCUGCCAGACUACCCGAUAGCGCCACAGAAGAUCCCUCCCAUUCAGGACACCGACCUAUUGAACAAAGCUAGCCCUCAAUAUUCAAGCACAG